rnacentral:rRNA from 1 species
AUUGAACGCUGGCGGCAUGCCUUACACAUGCAAGUCGAACGGCAGCACGGGUGCUUGCACCUGGUGGCGAGUGGCGAACGGGUGAGUAAUACAUCGGAACGUACCUUAUCGUGGGGGAUAACGCAGCGAAAGCUGUGCUAAUACCGCAUACGCCCUGAGGGGGAAAGCGGGGGAUCGAAAGACCUCGCGCGAUUAGAGCGGCCGAUGCCUGAUUAGCUUGUUGGUGGGGUAAAAGCCCACAAAGGCGACGAUCAGUAGCUGGUCUGAGAGGACGAUCAGCCACACUGGGACUGAGACACGGCCCAGACUCCUACGGGAGGCAGCAGUGGGGAAUUUUGGACAAUGGGGGCAACCCUGAUCCAGCAAUGCCGCGUGAGUGAAGAAGGCCUUCGGGUUGUAAAGCUCUUUUGUCAGGGAAGAAACACCGGCUCUAACACAGUCCGGGAAUGACGGUACCUGAAGAAUAAGCACCGGCUAACUACGUGCCAGCAGCAGCCGCCG